AUCAUAGACAGACAUACAUGGAUGCGGAGAAAGCUCAUGUUUAUCGAUGAUGCAGUGAUUGCCGGUUUAUUGACAGUGGGCCUGAUGGUCGUGUUCCUCGCCGGGGUUGGCGUAUUCAUCUACCAGGAUGCGCGCAAGACCAGCAAAAAGAUUCCCUGAUUCACCCCUGGAAUUGCCGGAGCUCGAAAGCGCAGCCCCCUCUGCGCGGGACUCUUUCG
rnacentral:sRNA from 1 species